UCCCGGCAGUCCAAGUCGCAGCCACAAUUAUUGGGUCUAAAACAUCCGUAGCUUGCUUUAUAAGUCUCUUGUGAAAUUUGGCCUCUUAAGGGUCAAGCGUGCAAGAGAUACUGUUUAGCUAGAGACUGGAGGAUGCAAAGAGUACAAUCGAGGUAGUGGUAAAAUACGUUAAUCUCGAUUGGACUAACAAUUAGCGAAGGCACUUUGCAACGACAGAUCUGACAGUGAGGGAUGAAGGCUAGGGG
rnacentral:rRNA from 1 species